rnacentral:misc_RNA from 1 species
AACGCACCUUGCGCCCCUUGGCAUUCCGAGGGGCACACCCGUUUGAGUGUCGUGAAAUCCUCAACCUUCUCUGCUUCUUUUUGAUCGGGGAAAGGCUUGGACUUUGGAGGCUUCUGCUGGCAUCUCAUGAAGCCAGCUCCUCUUAAAUGCAUUAGCGGGGGGUUUCCUUUUGUCAAUCCUCGACGUGAUAAAGUUUUUCUACGUCUAGGUCUUGACUUUAAGACCCGCUUCUAAUGGUCUCGUUGAGACGCUUGGUCGAGUUUUGCCCCUCAGUUGGGGUGGGACUUUGGCCCAUAUGAACCAUUUGACCUCAAAUCGGGUGAGACUACCCGCUGAACUUAA